UACGGGGGGGGUAAGCGUUGUUCGGAAUUACUGGGCGUAAAGGGCUCGUAGGCGGCCAACUAAGUCGGACGUGAAAUCCCUCAGCUUAACUGGGGAACUGCGUCCGAUACUGGAUGGCUUGAGAUUGGGAGAGGGAUGCGGAAUUCCAGGUGUAGCGGUGAAAUGCGUAGAUAUCUGGAGGAACACCGGUGGCGAAGGCGGCAUCCUGGACCAACACUGACGCUGAGGAGCGAAAGCCAGGGGAGCAAACGGG
rnacentral:rRNA from 1 species